CGAAAGGGUGACGAAGCGACGCCGCGUGUGGGAAGAAGGCCUUCGGGUUGUAAACCACUGUUGGGAGUUAGGAAGUGUGGAGGUGCUAAUAGCACUUUCACUUGACUAAAGCUCCAGAGGAAGCCACGGCUAACUCUGUGCCAGCAGCCGCGGUAAUACAGAGGCGGCAAGCGUUGUUCGGAAUUAUUGGGCGUAAAGAGCACGUAGGCGGCUCUGCGAGUCAGCUGUGAAAGCCUUCUGCUUAACGGAAGAACGGCAGUUGAAACUACAGGGCUUGAGUGCGGGAGGGGAGAGUGGAACUUCUGGUGGAGCGGUGAAAUGCGUAGAUAUCAGAAGGAACGCCGGCGGCGAAAGCGGCUCUCUGGUCCGUAACUGACGCUGAGUGUGCGAAAGCUAGGGGAGCAAACGGGAUUAGAUACCCCGGUAGUCCUAGCCGU
rnacentral:rRNA from 1 species